GACAGAGGUGCCGAGCGUUAGGCGGAAUCACUGGGCUUAAAGCGUGUGUAGGCGGGCCGUUAAGUGCCCCGUGAAAACCCCCGGCUCAACCGGGGAACGGCGGGGCAUACUGGCGGCCUUGAGACACCUAGGGGCGAGCGGAACAGGCGGUGGAGCGGUGAAAUGCGUAGAUAUCGCCUGGAACGCCGACGGUGAAAACAGCUCGCUGGGGGUGUUCUGACGCUGAGACACGAAAGCCAGGGGAGCGAACGGG
rnacentral:rRNA from 1 species